UUAAUCCGUGAAACCCUUCCUAUGCCGCCGCCCAUCCCUUCGCGCCUUUUCCUCUGCCCAAAACCCUAUUCACGCCACUUCCCUGCGCGACUUCGACUUCGACUUCGUCUUCCUCUCUGCCCUUCGCCUCCUUCGUCCCUAACGCUAAGGCGACCUUCACACUACCCUCGAAGAUGAGAACGAGGAGGAGGUGCCAAAGAAUGGGGGGGAUUUCGAUUUUGACGGAGCCGUGGCGGAGAAGGCAGCCGGCGCGAUCGGGGUCAAAUUAGGGUUCCAUGGGAAGGGACAGGGAGAGGGAUUGGGUGAUCGAACUCAUUGUUCUCUGGCUCCUUCCUCAACGCCAACGCCCAGUCGGACGCGGUCGCGAAGGUGGGUCGGAUCUACUCCCGCGGCCUCCUGCAUCAGCUCAUCUCCUUCACCCUUUAUUACCCAAUGCAAUGAUUCCUAUAGGCUCAAAACAUCAUCAACCCCAUGGUCGUCAUCGUCGUCGCCGUCCUCCUCUUCCAUAUCCUCAUCUCCUAGCUUGUCGUCUUUGUCCUUGACUUCGGCCUCCUCGGCGCCUCCAUCACUCUCAGCAUCCCUUGGUGGGUGCUCGUCCUCUCCACUUGGCUCUACAUCAUCCUCAUCCCUUCCAGCAGGACCACCUGGACUGACCUCUCUAUUAAGGUCUUCACCGGCAUCUGGCUCUUUUUCAAACUCACUGUUUCAUCAACCAUCAUGCUCGUGUAAGUCAACCGUCCAACUUUCUCCCCCUCUCUUCCUCUUCCCCCUCGCUCAAACUCACAUUCAUCAUAGCUUGGAGAUUUGGCGCAUCCAAGGUUUUGUGCUGAUCACAGGCUACCUCCUAUAUCCAGAAAUCUCACUCAAUGUCAUAUCUAUCUGGUAAUCAAUGACCACACAGCUUAUCAAUUCCUAUCUAAAUUUCUUACUGACAGUGUGAUCGAUUCCAGUGCAAAUUAGUGGAAUUGGGACUUCAUGAUCAUGCUCGGCUUGAGCAAUGCCGCAAGGUUUGACGACUACUGCACUUGCAUCAAUCUCCAUGAAUCAUUCACUAAUAACCAGAGGUUGUUUGUUGAAGUGUGAGGAUAGGGAAUGAGUUGGGGGCUGCUCAUCCUCGAGUUGCUAAGUUUGCAGUCCUUGUUAUGGUGAUGACCAACUUGAUCCUUAGCUUGAUCAUCAGUGUGUUGGUCCUCAUACUGCACACGCUCUUGCGCAAGCUCUACACCAGCAAUCAUUAAUCUAACUCCUCUACUUUCCAUCUCCAUUUUCUUGAAUGGAGGUUUGUCAAUUCUGUCUAGUACAACAUUGAUCUAAAAUUCUAUAAUUAUUUUUUUUUAAUGGACGACUAGCUUCAAGUGUUCACGAGGAUGGAUGAUGUAGGAGUUGCUAUUGGAAGUGGGUGGCAAGGCAUAGUGGCUUAUGUAAAUGUGGGUGCUUAUUACCUGAUUGGACUUCCCAUCGGCAUUGUUUUUAGAUUCAAGUAGUUUAGAUACUACUGUAAGUGAAAACUAAGAUUUAAAUUACUCUUUUGAUCUGUUUUGAUUUAGGAAAAAUAUUAAACAAUUGUUUUUGAUGCUGCUGUGGCUCAAGGAAUAUGGUGGGGAUUGAUCAUUGGAGUCUUUGUUCAAACGAUCUCUCUCAUCGUCUUAAUUGUCAGGACAAUGAAACAGAGAAGUUCUCAAACUGCUGCUCACCCAUGAAACACUUUAUUUUCAUAAAAAAAUAUCAAAAUUUUCAUUGUCUGAAAAUGGUGAUAGAAUUUUUUUCCCUCUUUUAGCCUAAUGAAAUAGGACAUAUGAGAAUGACCUCUGUUUGCAAGUGGACAAAGCGAUCAAACGCUUGAAGCAUACUGUUGAUGAAGAUACUUAGCGAUAGUCGGCGACAUCAAGUGACUAGUCAGCAAAAUUCUUUACACACCUACAAGGUAGAAAAUCUACAAAAGCUUGGUGAAGAUGAAGAAUAUGCUCAAAUUAUGGCAAGACUAGAAGAACUAGAAAAGAUAGAGGAGCUUGAAAAUAGAAAUACUUCAAAAGAUAACACUCAAAAGAAUGAGCACAGUUCGUGAUGGAGAUGGGGGUAGCAAAGCUAGAGAUAAAGAUAAAGAUGAGGACAUUGAGGUUGGUCAUAGUCUCUCGACAUCAGAUCAUAAAUAUGAAGUUGAGAGAUGAAGGCUAAGAUAGAAGUCUUGAAACCGCACAAACACUUGUGGCAAGUGGAAUACUUGGAUGCAUAUUAGAUUAAAGCAGUAUUGGAACAUUGUUGACAGCGAAAUCUUUGAUUGUUAGAAAUUCAUGAUUUUUGUACUUGACUUAGAGAAAUUUGUGAGCUUUGUAAAAUUAUUAUUAGAUGAAUAAAAGUUAUGUAUUCACAUUUUUA